GUGGUGUUGUUUAUGACAAUGGCACACCGGAAACCGGCGCCAUCUUAGAGUUGGCUUCCUACAAAAACCUGCUCACUGGAUACUUACUAAGAUUACCAUCUUUGGUUGUCUCAACCUUGUGAAGAGGGUGACAUGUCAACCAACUCUGUUUCCCAGAGUCUUGGUAAUGUCUGCAUUAAACAUUAUGAAUGAGCCGGUGGAACGUGCAUUGUCUCUUUUUGCUAUUAAGAAAAUAUUUGCUGGCAGCUUCCAAACUGGCAGCCAGGAGAAGUGGCUGUAAAAUCACCACAGUGAAAAGGGUUUCACAGUUUUGACUGUGAGGAUUUGGGACUUCUUUUGUUAUCCACCUCCUGUCCCAGGCCAGCUGCCCUCCUCUCCUUUUCUGGGUCUGUGUUCCUCAUAGUUCAUUUCCAUUAUUUUCCCUUUCUUAAGAUUUCAUUCUCACCUUUUGUGAUUAAAAUGAGAGUUACAAUAGUUUGAAUAUUGUGGCUGGUCUUGAUGGCUAAUUGAUGUAGAGGGGCCUAGCCCACUAUGAGAGAUACUAUCCCCUUAUAAAACUGUAUAAGGCAGCUAAACACAAGCUUAGGGGCAAGCCAGUAAGCAGCAUCCCUCCAUGGCUUUGGCUUUAAGCUCCUGCCUUGUGUUCCUGCAUGGGCUUUCCU
rnacentral:lncRNA from 1 species